CCGACCUUAGCUCAGUUGGUAGAGCGGAGGACUGUAGUAGGACAUCCUAAUAGCUAUCCUUAGGUCGCUGGUUCGAAUCCGGCAGGUCGGA
rfam:Gossypium arboreum cultivar AKA8401 contig_6209_3, whole genome shotgun sequence.